ACGAACGCUGGCGGCGUGCCUGAGAUAUGCAAGUCGAGCGAAGUUUUGGUCCCGCAAGGGAUUGAAAUUCAGCGGCGGACGGCUGAGUAACACGUAGGAAUCUGCCCCUUUCUGGGGAUAGUCGCGCGAAAGCGCGAAUAAUACCCCAUGGUUUCCCUUUUUGGUGAAUAAAGGCCUUUACCGGUCGGAAAGGGAUGAGCCUGCGUCCUAUCAGGUAGUUGGUGGAGUAAAUUGGCCUACCAAGCCUAUACGGGUAGCUGGUCUGAGAGGAUGACCAGCCAGAGGGGGACUGAGACACGGCCCCCACUCCUACGGGAGGGCAGCAAUCAGGAAUAGUCGGCAAUGGGCGAAAGCCUGACCCGCGCGACGCCGCGUGUGGGAAGAAGCUCUAAUCGAGUGUAAACCACUGUGGUAGGGGAAGAAGAUCAGCCGCAAGGCUGGUUUGACGGUACCCUACUAGAAAGUAGCGCUAACCUGCGUGCCAGAAGCGUCGGUAAUACGUGGGCUACAAGCGUUAUCCGGUAUCAUUGGGCGUAAAGGGUCGUGUAGGCGGUAUGAUAAGUUAUCUUUUAAAUUUCACUGCUCAACAGGGAAAAUGGAGUAAUACUACCAUACUAGAGUUUUCUUAAGGGAGAAUGGAACUGAGGGGAGAAGUAGUGAAAUGCGUUGAUACCCUCGGGAACACCAGUGGCGAAGGCGAUUCUCUGGAAGAAAGACUGACGCUGAGACACGAAAGCUAGGGGGAGCGAAGCAGAUUAGAGACCUGCGUAGUCCCUAGCCCUAAACGAAUGUCUGCUAGCUGCAUGAUUCGGUACGAACUAAGGAGCUUAUGCUUAUAAGCGCUUUAGUUCGUAUCGUUUUCCGUGUGGCGAAGGUAACCCGUUAAGCAGACCGCCUGGGGAGUACGACCGCAAGGUUAAAACUCAAGGGAAUUGGCGGGGAGGCACACAACCAGUGGAACAUGUGGUUCAAUUCGAGACGAAACGAAACACUCACCAGGGCUUGACAUCUUAGUGAAAUCUUGAUGAAAGUUAAGACCUCCGCAAGGAACAGUAAGACAGGUGCUGCAUGGCUGUCGUCAGUUCGUUCCGUGAGGAGUGCCCUUAAGUGGGACAACGAACGCAACCCCCCAUCUUGUGUUGAAUCUAUCACAAGAAACUGCUUCGUCUCUUGACGAGGAGGAAGGAGGGGCAGACGUCAAGUCAGCAUGGUCCUUAUGCUCUGGGCGACACACAUGUUACAAUGAAUAGGACAACGGGCCUUGCGAGCGCGUAAGCGUAAGCGAAUCCCUAAAACCUAUUCUCAGUGGGGAUUGGGGUCUGAAACUCGACCCCAUGAACGCGGAAUUGGUAGUAAUCGCGGAUCAGCAACGCCGCGGUGAUACGUUCUUGCCUCUUGCACACGCCGCCCGUCAAACGAACAAAGUCGAAUAUAUCUGAAUCCGAUUUAUCAGGAGAAGGUAUUUUCGGCGAUGAGCGUU
rnacentral:rRNA from 1 species